AUUUCUGUUUAGAUUUGUGUUCGGACUGCAAGUUAAUUCUUCUAAUGGCCCUCCAUUGGCCCAUAACACAAGUCUGGAUGAUCUUAAUUCCAGUUCCCAAGGACAGAGUGUCCUGUGGCACGACUCUGCUGUACAUGCCGUUGUGAAAUCCACGGAUGAUGGGAAGGAAGCCACCGUGCAGCUGUCCCUAGGAGCAUCAACAAGCAGUGUGGUGCAGGGCACCUGUAUGCACAGGGUAGAUACACUGCUGACCGGUUCCUGCCUGUGCCAGCGUCCAGAGCCUCCCCAUCCUGCUUUUAUUUGCGCUCUCUUCAAGCUGCCCCUGUAGUCUGUUCGUGCAGCUGGAACAGAUUCUUGCAAAGCAUUCAGCAACCCUGAGGGGUGGAACAACUCGGCAGGAUAUCUGCAUUGCAACCGGAAUAUUGUUCCUGCUGGGAGAGGACCUGAGGGAGUAUUUUUACUUUUCAGCAGCUCCUGCUGUGCCUCGGCGUGCACAGUCCACCUGGACUAACACCUUCAGCACUUCUCCUCUCUGCCUGGCAGACUGGCGCGGCGGUGUGACAAGCCUUGUAGUUCAUCACGGAGCCGUGGGGAAAUUGAGUCACACAGAGGUGACGUUCUGUAGGUCACCUGGUAAGCAGGGUGGAAGAGGUGAGAAGGAGAAGCUGGCUGGCUGA
rnacentral:lncRNA from 1 species